CAAUAGCGUAUAUUAAAGUUGUUGCAGUUAAAAAGCUCGUAGUUGGAUUUCGGGACGGUCCGGCUGGUCCGCCGCAAGGCGUGUUACUAACCGGGCUGUCCUUCUUUGCAAAGGCUGCAUGUGCUCUUAACUGAGUGUGUGUAGGAUUUGUGACGUUUACUUUGAAAAAAUUAGAGUGUUCAAAGCAGGCCAGCGCUUGAAUACAUAAGCAUGGAAUAAUGGAAUAGGACUUUGGUUCUAUUUUGUUGGUUUCUGGAACCGAAGUAAUGAUUAAAAGGGACAGUUGGGGGCAUUCGUAUUUCGUUGUCAGAGGUGAAAUUCUUGGAUUUACGAAAGACAAACUGCUGCGAAAGCGUCUGCCAAGGAUGUUUUCAUUGA
rnacentral:rRNA from 1 species